CCCAGGGCCACGAACAAUUUGGGUUCUGCCAGCAGGGCACAGCUGCCACCUUCUCCCCCGACAGCCACUACCUCAUUUUUGGGGCUCCAGGAACCUAUAACUGGAAGGGCACAGCCAGGGUGGAGCUCUGUGCGCAGGGCUCGUCGGACCUGGCACACCUGGAUGAUGGGCCCUACGAGGCGGGGGGCGAGAAGGACCAAGACCCCCGCCUCAUUCCGGUCCCUGCCAAC
rnacentral:lncRNA from 1 species